GGUGGCUCAGUGAUAGAGUGCUUGCCUUGCAUGCAUGAGGUCCUGGGUUCAAUUCCUCAGCACCA
rnacentral:tRNA from 1 species